UACGGGGGGGGCAAGCGUUGUUCGGAAUUACUGGGCGUAAAGGGCUCGUAGGCGGCCAACUAAGUCGAACGUGAAAUCCCCGGGCUCAACCCGGGAACUGCGUCCGAUACUGGCAGGCUUGAAUCCGGGAGAGGGAUGUGGAAUUCCAGGUGUAGCGGUGAAAUGCGUAGAUAUCUGGAGGAACACCGGUGGCGAAGGCGGCAUCCUGGACCGGUAUUGACGCUGAGGCGCGAAAGCCAGGGGAGCAAACGGG
rnacentral:rRNA from 1 species